rnacentral:rRNA from 1 species
GACAGAGGGGGCAAGCGUUGCUCGGAAUCACUGGGCGUAAAGGGCGCGUAGGCGGGCUGGCAAGUCGGUCGUGAAAUCCUUCGGCCCAACCGAAGAACGUCGGCCGAUACUGCCGUUCUUGAGGGAUGCAGAGGAGACUGGAAUUCCCGGUGUAGCGGUGAAAUGUGUAGAGAUCGGGAGGAACACCGGUGGCGAAGGCGGGUCUCUGGGCAUUUCCUGACGCUGAGACGCGAAAGCGUGGGGAGCGAACCGG